rnacentral:rRNA from 1 species
CAGGUGUGCCUUCGGGAACUCUGAGACAGGUGCUGCAUGGCUGUCGUCAGCUCGUGUUGUGAAAUGUUGGGUUAAGUCCCGCAACGAGCGCAACCCUUAUCCUUGUUUGCCAGCGAGUAAUGUCGGGAACUCCAGGGAGACUGCCGGUGAUAAACCGGAGGAAGGUGGGGACGACGUCAAGUCAUCAUGGCCCUUACGAGUAGGGCUACACACGUGCUACAAUGGCGCAUACAGAGGGCUGCCAACCAGCGAUGGUGAGCGAAUCCCAAAAAGUGCGUCGUAGUCCGGAUUGGAGUCUGCAACUCGACUCCAUGAAGUCGGAAUCGCUAGUAAUCGUGGAUCAGAAUGCCACGGUGAAUACGUUCCCGGGCCUUGUACACACCGCCCGUCACACCAUGGGAGUGGGCUGCAAAAGAAGUGGGUAGUUUAACCUUUCGGGGAGGACGCUCACCACUUUGUGGUUCAUGACUGGGGUGAAGUCGUAACAAGGUAACCCUAGGGGAACCUGGCGCUGGAUCACCUCCUUAUACGAUGAU